UUCAUCAGACUGUGGCGUAUUUGCGAUUGCAUUUGCAACCUGUCUGGCAUAUGGGGUACUGCCUCAGUCCGUGCGGAUAGACCAGAAUGAGAUGAGGGGACAUUUGUGGAGAUGCUUCAAAACUGGAAAGCUGGAACUGUUUCCAACAUACUGAACAGUUACACAGGAUGGCACAGUUACAGUGCAAGUCUCCAGUCCAAACCAGCAGCCCCCCUCCCACAUCCUGGUACUAGAGAAGGAUGAAGUUGAGAAGGCACUAUGGGAUGUAUGACAGUCAUAACAGUGCAAGUCUCCAGUCCAAACCAGCAGCCCCCCUCCCACAUCCUGGUACUAGAGAAGGAUGAAGUUGAGAAGGCACUAUGGGAUGUAUGAGUCAUAACAGUGUAACUGUAAGCCUCCAGUCUCACCCGGUAGAGAUGCAGGUGCCUCACUCCAACACGCCUUGCAGUUAUGAGGUUUUGCUCCAGAAGACUGCUACAAGAUAAACCAUAUCUACAAAAGUGUGGAUUUGUACUCUCUAAUCUCCAUUUCAUUGCUAUCAGGGCAAUGCAUGAUGUAUGAAAAUAGAAAUGAAUGUAUGUUCAACACUUUUAUUGGCAGUCAACAUGUCAUUAACUUAAGUUUAUCACACCCUGUAGCUCAAGUAGCAAUAUCUGUGUGGCAAUAUGUACACAAAGUUGACUAAGUGCUAUCCUGUACAGUGAAUGUAUGUGAUCUAACUGCACCUUACUAC